GCCAGACUCCUACGGGAGGCAGCAGUGAGGAAUAUUGGUCAAUGGGCGGGAGCCUGAACCAGCCAAGCCGCGUGAAGGAAGAAGGCGCCAAGCGUCGUAAACUUCUUUUGUCGGGGAACAAAGGGCGCCACGUGUGGCGUUGUGAGUGUACCCGAAGAAAAAGCAUCGGCUAACUCCGUGCCAGCAGCCGCGGUAAUACGGAGGAUGCGAGCGUUAUCCGGAUUUAUUGGGUUUAAAGGGUGCGUAGGCGGGCCCGGAAGGUCGGGGGAAAAGGCCGGGGCCCCACCCCCGGCGAGCCGUUGAAACUGGCUGUCUUGAGAUGUCGAGAGGUAUGCGGAAUGCGCAGUGUAGCGGUGAAAUGCUUAGAUAUUGCGCAGAACUCCGAUUGCGAAGGCAGCAUACCGGCGGCGAUCUGACGCUGAGGCACGAAAGCGUGGGUAUCGAACAGGAUUAGAUACCCCGGUA
rnacentral:rRNA from 1 species